GAUGAACGCUGGCGGCGUGCCUAAUACAUGCAAGUCGAGCGAACAGACGAGGAGCUUGCUCCUCUGACGUUAGCGGCGGACGGGUGAGUAACACGUGGAUAACCUACCUAUAAGACUGGGAUAACUUCGGGAAACCGGAGCUAAUACCGGAUAAUAUAUUGAACCGCAUGGUUCAAUGGUGAAAGAAGGUUUUGCUGUCACUUAUAGAUGGAUCCGCGCCGCAUUAGCUAGUUGGUAAGGUAACGGCUUACCAAGGCAACAGUGCGUAGCCGACCUGAGAGGGUGAGUGGACACACUGGGACUGAGACACGGUCCAGACUCCUACGGGAGGCAGCAGUGGGGAAUCUUCCGCAAUGGGCGAAAGCCUGACGGAGCAACGCCGCGUGAGUGAUGAAGGUCUUCGGAUCGUAAAACUCUGUUAUUAGGGAAGAAAAAAUGUGUAAGUAACUAUGCACGUCUUGACGGUACCUAAUCAGAAAGCCACGGCUAACUACGUG
rnacentral:rRNA from 1 species